GAUGAACGCUAGCGGCAGGCUUAAUACAUGCAAGUCGAGGGGCAGCAGGACUGUAGCAAUACAGUUGCUGGCGACCGGCAAACGGGUGCGGAACACGUACGCAACUUACCCUGAACUGGGGGAUAGCCCGGGGAAACCCGGAUUAAUACCCCGUAAUAUAAUUGAGUGGCAUCACUUUAUUAUUAAAGCUCCGGCGGUUCGGGAUGGGCGUGCGGCUGAUUAGGUAGUUGGUUGAGGUAACGGCUGACCAACCCUACGAUCAGUAACUGGUGUGAGAGCACGACCAGUCGCACGGGGACUGGGACACGGGCCCGACUGCUACGGGAGGCAGCAGUAAGGAAUAUUGGGAAAUGGAGGCAACUCUGACCCAGCCAUGCCGCGUGGAGGAUGAAGGCACUCUGGGUUGUAAACUUCUUUUAUAGGGGACGAACCCUGUGUAUGCUUACGCAGUGGACGGUACCCUAGGAAUAAGCACCGGCUAACUCCGU
rnacentral:rRNA from 1 species